UGAGCGGCGCGGCGGAGGUGUCCGCCAGCCCAGACCGGGCGCUGGUGACCGUGCGGACAGAGAAUGUAACUGUGACAAAGGAUUUCAGAAGAGUAGACAAUGCUUACCACAUGGAAGCCGAGCUUCUUUGACCAAGUGGGCAGUGGUAUUCUGAUGUGCACUCCCAUGAGCGGCAUUCCUGUUUUUUGUCUGCCAGAAGCCUGUUACCAGCUGCUACUUGACUACAGUACCAAGAAAUUCUACCCCAGACACUUUAAGUCUAUGCCUUCUGCCUCAAGCUGCUCAACAAGGACACCUUCAAGGAGCAAACAGCACCUCUCACUGCCAGAGCUUCCUCAAGCUCUUCCAGGCUCACUUCCUCCCUCUGUCCAUUUUCCUAGCUGCUCCUGUGACCCUGGGACUGCCCAGGAUGAUGGGGCACAACCAACCUUGUCAUCUUGAAAGUGGAACCUUGUCAUCAUCAGGUCUGCAUUACAUUUACUGAAUUUGGAAAAAUGCAAAUCAAGGAGGAGGAAACAAAAGACUGGGAAGGCCAAGCGGAUGAUCAUCAGUUGUCCAGCUUGCCAGGUUUUUUAACUAUACAACAGAAAAUCAAAAGUGCAACCAUCCAUGCAGCUUCAAAAGUGUUCAUUACUUACGAGGUGAAAGGAAAAGAGAGGAAAAAAAAGCAUCUGUAAAAUUCUAACUGAAACAUAAUGUAUUUGUACUUAUAAAUCUGUUUUUAUACAUUUUACAGCACUGCUUUUUGUCUCAAAUGUAACUGUUGUCUGGUACUGGUAAUCUGUAAGAUCUGCCACUUGUUGAACAUAUCCCUCAGAAUAUGUGUGAUCUCUUUCUAGUUCCCAGAACACCGUCGGAAAUAAAUGUAUUAAAGCAUACUUUUGUAUACUGAGAAUUUAUAUAUUGAAAAUAAAAUUAACAGAAAACCCAG
rnacentral:lncRNA from 1 species